rnacentral:rRNA from 1 species
GAUGAACGCUGGCGGCGUGCCUAAUACAUGCAAGUCGAGCGAACAGACGAGGAGCUUGCUCCUCUGACGUUAGCGGCGGACGGGUGAGUAACACGUGGAUAACCUACCUAUAAGACUGGGAUAACUUCGGGAAACCGGAGCUAAUACCGGAUAAUAUAUUGAACCGCAUGGUUCAAUAGUGAAAGACGGUUUUGCUGUCACUUAUAGAUGGAUCCGCGCCGCAUUAGCUAGUUGGUAAGGUAACGGCUUACCAAGGCAACGAUGCGUAGCCGACCUGAGAGGGUGAUCGGCCACACUGGAACUGAGACACGGUCCAGACUCCUACGGGAGGCAGCAGUAGGAAAUCUUCCGCAAUGGGCGAAAGCCUGACGGAGCAACGCCGCGUGAGUGAUGAAGUUCUUCGGAUCGUAAAACUCUGUUAUUAGGGAAGAACAAAUGUGUAAGUAACUAUGCACGUCUUGACGGUACCUAAUCAGAAAGCCACGGCUAACUACGUG